CUGGGACCCACAGGAAUUCCCUCCCUUCAGUCCCGGGGGGAGGCGGCCGCGAUCCUGGGGGAGGCGCAGCCUCACAACCCGGACUUUGCGGGCGGGCGGGCACUGGUGAGAAGAGGAAGUGGGAGAGGCCUGGGAAGGAAACUUGGAAACCGAAAACUCGGCGGCCGAGGCUCCGUGCCCCGCGCGCAGCGCUGCUCCUGCCCCGGCCAAGGACGCACGGGCCAGCCGGCGGAACCAGAGGUUUUCAGUGAUGUUGAGAGUCAACAGGAAAUUAAUCAGCAAGUAGAAAAUUGAAAGAAGAUCUGCAUCUUACUGCAGGAGUCAUUAAAAUAAAAGCAGAUUUGGCAAAAUGGCAAGAACCAGAGGAUGAGGAUGUAAAACAAAAACUUUUGGAGUCAUUUUGCCACCAGGAUGAAAAUAGGAUGAAGCUGACAUGACAAAGGUGCAGACAUGGCAGAGGAGACACAGCAAUAACUAAGGGGCAACUAUUGCAUCCAGAAAAAAAAAAAAUGAAGAUAAUGACUUCUCUGCAACUAAGAUGAAGAUCCACUGAACUUUGGGGUUUGAAAUGCAACGUUAGAACUUCAGACUCCCGGCACCUAGGUCUCCAGCUGCUGGGUGGUGCCAGCAUCAGAGAUACACUCUGCAAAACAUAUACUGUCUUAGGAAAAAGUGACCCUGUUGUCCUUUCAGGCCCAUAUUCCACAAGAAGACAAAUGGAGAUGUAAAAGGAAAACUGCAGCUCCGACUGAAGAGAGAGCAAGUUGUCUGUUCUGAUACAGCCAGGAAAUAAGAUGUUCUGGUUAAUAUGUGCUAAAGAUGUGGUGCUGACUUUCCGACUCAGAAUAUGAUCACAUGUUUUUCUCAUUAAAACUAUAUUGAAUAUUAUUUGACCAUUGUUGAGUCAGUCAUCUUGAUAAAUAUUAUCUUCGUACAGUCCUGAGCAGAGAGUCAGUGACUAGAAUGCCACUGAAACCAGCUUUUUAUAGGACACGGUUUUCAUGGUUUUAGGGCAUGGAGAAACUU
rnacentral:lncRNA from 1 species